GCUUACAAUCCCACAAUGCAAUGUAUUCUAUGCGCAAAAGAAGUUUCAGUUGGUCAACUGUUAGUUGUUUCCCCUUGCUUCCAGGCUUUAUGCUAAGCUACGCUAAAAGGUUACUGGCUGUAGCUUCAGUGUACAAACAUGAAAGUGGUUGAACCUCUCGUCCUAGUCCCAGCAAGAAAACCAACAAGUGUAUUUCCAAAAACAAAUAACUCUUUGAAGUUGUAGAUUGUGUAGUUAUGAUGGUCUGGGAAGGUGCUGUUCUAGUUGGUGUCAGGGAUGUAGCGUUAGUGAGAGCUGAGCACUCUUUUGAAGCUUUUACACAGUACAUUGUCCUCAGAGGUGAUUUGUGUUGGAGUCGAUUAUGGAGACAGAACUGAUGCUUUUGUCUCUGUCUGUCUGAGCACAUGCAUACAUGUGCCUAAAUAUGGUCUGAGUUUGCAGUGUGGAGGUGUAAAAUAUUGAAAUUCAGUUCAUCCGUUUAGUACAUUAUAUUAUUGAAACUAAGCAUCAUGUUUUUUUGUGCAGCUCAAUAAAAUACAUCCAUGGUGCAGAGGCACUAUAUACUCAAAGAGUUUACACUGGACUGAAAAUGUCAGGGAAUGUGGAAAAAGUAGUUCUGAAACCUCCUAUUUAAGAGACUUUAUGGAUCCGUCUCAUGGAAACGCAGAUACAUAUUAUCACUGAC